GGUUUUGUAAUGUAAAGUAACAUAUUAAAUUGCAAAUUUAUGAAUACGAAGUGAGUUUCGUCAAAACUUC
rnacentral:tRNA from 1 species